rnacentral:ncRNA from 1 species
UGUCUCCUCCACCCUCCUCCUUUGGUGGAUUCAGCGCAACUCUCGUGGUUGCGCUUUUUUUU